GAUGAACGCUGGCGGCGUGCCUAAUACAUGCAAGUCGAGCGAACGGACGAGAAGCUUGCUUCUCUGAUGUUAGCGGCGGACGGGUGAGUAACACGUGGAUAACCUACCUAUAAGACUGGGAUAACUUCGGGAAACCGGAGCUAAUACCGGAUGAUAUUUUGAACCGCAUGGUUCAAAAGUGAAAGACGGUCUUGCUGUCACUUAUAGAUGGAUCCGCGCUGCAUUAGCUAGUUGGUAAGGUAACGGCUUACCAAGGCAACGAUGCAUAGCCGACCUGAGAGGGUGAUCGGCCACACUGGAACUGAGACACGGUCCAGACUCCUACGGGAGGCAGCAGUAGGGAAUCUUCCGCAAUGGGCGAAAGCCUGACGGAGCAACGCCGCGUGAGUGAUGAAGGUCUUCGGAUCGUAAAACUCUGUUAUUAGGGAAGAACAUAUGUGUAAGUAACUGUGCACAUCUUGACGGUACCUAAUCAGAAAGCCACGGCUAACUACGUGCCAGCAGCCGCGGUAAUACGUAGGUGGCAAGCGUUAUCCGGAAUUAUUGGGCGUAAAGCGCGCGUAGGCGGUUUUUUAAGUCUGAUGUGAAAGCCCACGGCUCAACCGUGGAGGGUCAUUGGAAACUGGAAAACUUGAGUGCAGAAGAGGAAAGUGGAAUUCCAUGUGUAGCGGUGAAAUGCGCAGAGAUAUGGAGGAACACCAGUGGCGAAGGCGACUUUCUGGUCUGUAACUGACGCUGAUGUGCGAAAGCGUGGGGAUCAAACAGGAUUAGAUACCCUGGUAGUCCACGCCGUAAACGAUGAGUGCUAAGUGUUAGGGGGUUUCCGCCCCUUAGUGCUGCAGCUAACGCAUUAAGCACUCCGCCUGGGGAGUACGACCGCAAGGUUGAAACUCAAAGGAAUUGACGGGGACCCGCACAAGCGGUGGAGCAUGUGGUUUAAUUCGAAGCAACGCGAAGAACCUUACCAAAUCUUGACAUCCUUUGACAACUCUAGAGAUAGAGCCUUCCCCUUCGGGGGACAAAGUGACAGGUGGUGCAUGGUUGUCGUCAGCUCGUGUCGUGAGAUGUUGGGUUAAGUCCCGCAACGAGCGCAACCCUUAAGCUUAGUUGCCAUCAUUAAGUUGGGCACUCUAAGUUGACUGCCGGUGACAAACCGGAGGAAGGUGGGGAUGACGUCAAAUCAUCAUGCCCCUUAUGAUUUGGGCUACACACGUGCUACAAUGGACAAUACAAGGGGCAGCGAAACCGCGAGGUCAAGCAAAUCCCAUAAAGUUGUUCUCAGUUCGGAUUGUAGUCUGCAACUCGACUACAUGAAGCUGGAAUCGCUAGUAAUCGUAGAUCAGCAUGCUACGGUGAAUACGUUCCCGGGGUCU
rnacentral:rRNA from 1 species